AUUGAACGCUGGCGGCAGGCCUAACACAUGCAAGUCGAGCGAGCGGCGGACGGGUGAGUAAUGUAUGGGGACCUGCCUGAUAGAGGGGGAUAACUACUGGAAACGGUGGCUACUACCGCAUACUAUCGGAUGAACCCAUAUGGGAUUAUCUAGUAGGUGGGGUAAAGGCUCACCUAGGCGACGAUCCCUAGCUGGUCUGAGAGGAUGAUCAGCCACACUGGGACUGAGACACGGCCCAGACUCCUACGGGAGGCAGCAGUGGGGAAUAUUGCACAAUGGGCGCAAGCCUGAUGCAGCCAUGCCGCGUGUAUGAAGAAGGCCUUAGGGUUGUAAAGUACUGUCAGCGGGGAGGUGUUACCCGCAGAAGAAGCACCGGCUAACUCCGUGCCAGCCGCCGCGGUAAUAC
rnacentral:rRNA from 1 species